GCCUCUGAUCAUGGCACUGUGAAUCUGCCCACACAACUGCAAUAAAUCUCCUUGCCCCAGGACACUCUGGCUUUUCUCUGCUUGCACAAUGCAACCAUCCAUUAGAGGAAGGGCUGCAACAGAUGGGCUCUCCCUUCUCCAGAAACAAGGCUGGAGAGAGAAGCUGCUGUUUCAGGGCAGGAAUUCCCACCAUCACCAGCCUUGGCAAGCUGCUUCCUUCCCUGCUUCUCAGUUAAUGAAAUCAGGUAAAUUAACAUUAGUGAAAUGUUAAUGGCUGAUAUUUGUAGGCUUCCCAGAGACUGGGCUGGGCCAAACCCCUUAAUCCUUUUAGCUGAUUCAUGACUGCAUCCUCUGAAAUGAAAAAUGUUGGCAAAUGCAGUGAUUGUGCUUGAUUCCAGAGAAAGGGAAUUUGAAAAUGAGGAAAUUUGUUAAAGAAAACGCUCAGAGUGGCAGCCAGAAAGGUAAAAUGUUUUCAGAUGGCAGGUAGACUAUUUUAGGAUUCUAUAUUGGAGGCUCAAAGCAAAUGCAUAUAACCUGUCAAAAAAAAAAGACUUGAGAGGAAAACAAAAAGCUGGCAUCAUAAAACAGCAGGAUCAGGGAGGCUCUUGGAAGUUAAAAGGUAUCCUGCAAAAAGCUGAAGUUGUGUCUGAAAAAGGAAAACUAAAAAGAACAUAAAUUCUGGCAGACUAAAUGUAAAAGCACAAUAACAUAGACUGAAGAAAGAGUUUAGAAGCAGUUUGCUAAAGAAAUAGAAAAGUAUGCUAUAAAUCCUUCCUGAACACAUCAAGAGCAAGAAGCCUUGGAAGAGUCAGUGUGAGGGAGAAGGCUCAGAAAAGAUGAUGCCAUCACAAAAAAAUCCCAAGCACUUUUUUUUUUUUCCAAAAUCUCUUCACCUGGAGAACCUUGAAAACUCUCCAACCAGCACCUUGUUUGUAAGGCCUUCAGAGAAGGCUUGUCUUAAUUUCAGGGUGUUAAGUGGAGAUUACAGACCAGAUAAAAUGAAUAACAACAUAUCACUGGGCAUGGAUGGAAUUCAAGCAAGGUUUUUAUUGAAUGUUAAAUAUGAAUCAUCUGACCUAACACCCUCAGUAUGUAUGUAACCUUUUGCUGAAAAUUGCUGUGAUUUUCAAAGGGCUGGAAGGUAACGAGUAAGAAAUCGGGUUUUUUAAAUAAAUCCAGUGGCAAUUCAAGAAACCACAGAUCACUAAGUUUAAUGUCCAUUUGGGUCAUAUUGGCUGAAGCUGUGGCAAAGAACAGAAUUAGCAAGCACAUGAAUAAAAGUAACAUGUUAGGGAAAAGUAAACAUGACUUUUGUAAAAGGAAUCUGAGCCUCCUAAAUCUGCUGGAAUUCUCUGAAGGACUCAAAAGCAUGUAAAUAGCAGAGCUCCAGCUGAGAAAUUUUCCCUGCAUUUCCAACUCACCCCAAGCUUCCAGAAACCUCAUGCAUAGAAGGUCCCAUCAAAGGCUCUUAAAAAAAAUAAACAGCCAGGGAUUGCAGGUGAGGACCUCACAGAGUUAAAUAAGAAUUUAGUACUGGAAAAAGAAGAUUAUACUAAAGGAUGAGUUUUCACAGUAGAAGACGAUCAUCAGGGGAGUCCCACAGAGAUUAUGGUCCGUGGUGCUCAAUGUGCUCAGGAAUGAUUUGGAAAGUUGGUGGAACAGUGAAGAUGAUUUCUGAUAAAAACUAAAUUAAUUAGGAUAAUAUUUACUACAAAAAACUUCAAGAUCUUACAACACUGAGCAAGCCUCAUGAUGAAGAGGAAGAUAAAUUUCAGCCCUGACAACCAUAAUCUGGCUAUCCACAAAAAGCAACACUAACUUUACACGGGGAGUGAUGGGCCCUGAGCUAGUUUGCACAAUUUAGGAAAUGCAUCUCAACAUUGUAACAGCUUGUUCUAUGAAUAUGUGACCCCAUUGCUGAAUAGCAGGCAAAAAAAAAAUUCCAAAGUUUAGCACAGUUUGGAGAGAAAAGCACAACCUUGCCCCUGUACGAUUUAUGGUGUCUCUGCUUCUCCAAAACAAAGCACACUUCUGGUACCUUCACCUGAGACAGACUGUAACAGGCAAAAGAAAAGCUACGUGGCAGGCUGACAAACAUGUUCACCUCCUGCUCCUCUGCACUAAAACACUCUCGCUCAGUGACAAGACCACAGCUGUUGCCAUCGUUUCCUUACCUGCAGAGUGCAAUAUUUAGCUGGAGGGACACUGAAGUUUUCUGUUUGUUAGUUAUCAUGUCAACAACUCUCACCUUAUCACUUCAGUUUCCAUUCAGUUGAUAAAACCUGUCAGCCUUCCUUGAGUGGUUCCAGGCCCUCAGAAGAAAUCACAUUAAAUUGGCACAGCCAAGUAAAUCUGGAAGGGAUGUGCUCCUGGCUUACCAAAGGAAAUGGGGGAGGGCUUGAAUUUCUCUCCCUCUUCCUCCCUGCACAGCUCCAAUGUCCGAGUGCUCGGAGCAGUGUUGAAAUCCUCCCUACGGACUCAGCAGUUCAAGUCAGAUCAGGUCUUUGAAUAUGGCCCAGAGGAGACGUCUGUGGAGCCGAAAUUGAUAUGUUUAAGUGCAAGAGACAAUAAUCAUUUCUUCAAGUAUAAGCUAAAAAUACCCGGAAAAAAAUGGAAUUCAUAAUGGAGAUUUUAAAGAUCUGUGACACACCAGAGCCUGCGCAAGGGUUUUAAUGAGAGAGAAGCCAGUUUAAUUGGUCAGUGUGAGCAGAUGCUUUGCUGGGUGAGUGGGCUACGAGGUCUCACAGCCCUGGUUAACGCCAGGAGCAUCAGCCCUGUCCUCAACAUGGCUGUGACAAGCCCGUGUCACAGCAGCGCAGUGUCAGAGCCAGGGAACCUCGGUCAUCAACGUCUCCACGGUGUCAGAUCACAGAGCCACGGGGAGAGAGCACUAAAAGGAGGAGGCAAAAGCCGACAAAGGAACGUUCCUGAAGAUAAUUGCAGGACUGACCGUCUCCUCUUGUCGCUUGCUUCAUUAUCACUCUGGGCAUGAAGCUGAACCAGCCUGUUAAGUUUUAACGCUGUGUUAACAGGGAGCUGCCGAGCACCAGGGCUCAGGUUCACAGGCCUCCCCUGUGAAAACUCUUCUGCAGUGUGUGUCACCGUCCUAGGAAAGCCAGGAAUAACUUGCGUGGCCCGUUCAAUUACAGACACUCACACCCAGCUCCCUCUCCUCGUGGCACGGCUCAUCAAUCAGGGCCUCUGUCACCGUGUCUCCUCUCAUCGCAGUCACCAGAAGGCUCUGAGCUCCCCCCAGUCCGUGUGACAUUUACUGUCAGGGGCUGUCAACACCAAGAGAUUCUCCCAGGGCCUCCGAGUUCAUCACAAAGCAACAAGAUCUAUCCCCAAAAUGCGCUCCCGGUUCCAGCUCUGGAUUACAGUGACUGACUGAGGGGCUUUGCAGCUCUCAGGGAAGAGUGAAACAGCAGCACGAGCUGCAGCUUAUGCCCAAAUACCUUUGUUUUCUUAUUCUCUUGUUAGAAAAAUACAACUGCUUUAAGAGAGGUUUCAGGCUAAUGAUUAAUUAAGCUUCCUCAACACCAUCCCUUAUAAACUUAUUAAGAGAAAGCUGAGAUUGUUUACUUGGAAAUUUAGUCUUCCCAUCUUUAGCAUUGAUCCUGCCUUCACUCUCUGUUUAACAACACAGUGACCUAGUGGAAAAAAUUUAUAAAACUUAAUAAAUUGCACUAGGCAAUAUUGACAGAGUGUGUAUAUGCACAUUUGGGUUUGUAUGAACGUAUUAUAAGAAAUCUAAUAAAGUAAAACAAACACAUUUGCUCUGUUUGUGAGCUGUGAAACAAGAUCCCUGUAAUUACAAUGUUUGAAGCAUACUUGGUCAAAGGGGUAUGGUGAGAUUUUUGGCCAUAUAUUUCUGGUUUGAGAUUAAAGAACAACUAUUGUUUAUCAAGGGUUACAUGUUGCACAAAACUGCUUUGCUCAAGAUGCAGAAAAAUAAAAAUGUUGAUGAAAACCUAAGUUAGCAGAAGACCUCUAUGAGACCAGAGGAACCAGCACCCAGAGAAUAAAGUUCCAGUCGCAAAUGUGUCUCGAAAAAACGAUGAAGGACUUGGAGAUAUGUUCAUUUUGUCUGACUUUUAAGGGGGAAUGGGCCUUGAUGAGUGUUUAAACCAGUGACUGAAAGAGUGCUUUCGAUUGCAAGGUUUUUAAAAGACCAUAGAAUGUAUAUAACCUUCUAGAACUUUGAUGUCUAUUUUUAACUUGCUUUCUACAACAAGCCUGGUUUCCUCUUCCAACCAAAAUAAACAUAUUUCUUAAGGAGCA